GAUGAACGUUGGCGGCGUGGAUUAGGCAUGCAAGUCGAGCGAGAAGUCCUUCGGGACGGACAGCGGCGAAAGGGAGAGGAAUACGUAGAAAUCUACCCCUGAGACCGGGAUAGCGUCGGGAAACUGGCAGUAAUACCGGAUAAUGUCUUAGGACCAAAGGUGUGAUUCCACUUGGGGAUGAGUCUACGCCCUAUUAGCUAGUUGGUGGGGUAAUGGCCUACCAAGGCGAUGAUGGGUAGCGGGUGUGAGAGCAUGAUCCGCCUCACUGGGACUGAGAACUGCCCAGACACCUACGGGUGGCUGCAGUCGAGAAUCUUUGUCAAUGGACGAAAGUCUGAACAAGCGACGCCGCGUGCGGGAUGAAGGCCUUCGGGUUGUAAACCGCUGUCGUAGGGGAACAAAUGUACGGGGGUUCUCCCCUGUAUUUGAGUGAUCCUAGGAGGAAGGAGAGGCUAAGCUCGUGCCAGCCGCCGCGGUAACAC
rnacentral:rRNA from 1 species